rnacentral:misc_RNA from 1 species
UACGUAGGGGGCAAGCGUUAUCCGGAAUUACUGGGCGUAAAGCGCGCGCAGGCGGGUUAGUAAGUCUUUCGUGAAAGCUCCCGGCUAAACUGGGAGAGGUCGGAGGAUACUGUUAGCCUAGAGUAUGGCAGAGGAGUGUGGAAUUCCGCGUGUAGUGGUGAAAUGCGUAGAGAUGCGGAGGAACACCAGUGGCGAAGGCGGCACUCUGGGCCAAAACUGACGCUGAGGCGCGAAAGCAUGGGUAGCGAACGGG